AUAUUGGACUCAUCUAAAGAAAUGCUUAAGAGACUGUGUAUAUAUGUACUGAAAUGUCUGCGGUAUAAAGAUACAGUAAUGUGGAAAUGCAGGAGAGACCAAGACUGGACAAUAAGCUUUGGAAUUAAGUUAUUCAUGUACAGUGCAUUUGGAAAGUAUUCGGACUCCUUCCUUUUUUCCACAUUUUGUUACAUCACAGCCUUAUUUUAAAAUAGAUUCAAUAAUUUUUGUUCUCAUCAAUCUACACACUACCCCAUAAUGACAAAGUGAAAACAGUUUUUAAGAAAUGUUUCCAAAUGUAUUACAAAUAAAAAAUCAGAAAUACCUUAUUUACAUAAGUGUUCAGACAAUUUGCUAUGAGAUUUGAAAUUGAGCUUAGGUGCAUCCUGUUUCGAUUGAUCAUCCUUGAUGUUUUUACAACUUGAUUGGAGUCCACCUGUGGUAAAUUCUAUUGAUUGGACAUGAUUUGGAAAGGCACACACCUCUCAACACAAGCUCCCACAGUUGACAGUGCAUGUCGGAGCGAAUUGAUUUCAGGGAGGGCUAAAAUGUCCAGUUUAGUUUCAGUCUGAGCCGACUGUCCAGUCCAUUUCAGUCUGUGUUAUUUAUUAAUCCAUUUCAGUCUGAGACAUGUUCCCUUGCGUUCCAAGGCUCUGAACUGCUCUAAGCAGGCAGAGUUCAUGGUCCCAUGAUGUCCACUGAAUGGAAUCCUAGCCUGCAUUGAGAUGUGUCAACAUUUUUAUAUUUAUUACUGAUAUCUCUCUUAGUAAAUAUUGAUUUUGUGACCACAACUUUUUUUCCCAGCAAGGAAAUGGUUUUUAUUAUCACCUGGAAGGUAGUAAAUGUGUUAUGAACUGGUUUAUAUAUUGCUGUGGUGGUAACUACUGUGGUGGUACCUGGCAAGGUGAGCUGGGACUAAGCCUACCUUUUUUCUUAGGUCAGUUUCACAUACAUACAACCCAUUUUAAAGGAGGAAGACUGCGGUUCAACUGUCUGCUGACUGAAUAGAACAUUGAGGUGUGUCAGCUGCUGACUGAAUAGAACAUUGAGGUGUGUCAGCUGCUGACUGAAUAGAACUGCUGACUGAAUAGAACAUUGAGGUGGGUCAGCUGCUGACUGAAUAGAACAUUGAGGUGUGUCAGCUGCUGACUGAAUAGAACAUUGAGGUGUGUCAGCUGCUGACUGAAUAGAACAUUGAGGUGUGUCAGCUGCUGACUGAAUAGAACAUUGGGGUGUGUCAGCUGCUGACUGAAUAGAACAUUGAGGUGUGUCAGCUGCUGACUGAAUAGAACAUUGAGGUCUGUCAGCUGCUGACUGAAUAGAACAUUGAGGUGUGUCAGCUGCUGACUGAAUAGAACAUUGAGGUGUGUCAGCUGCUGACUGAAUAGAACUGCUGACUGAAUAGAACAAUUAGGUGGGUCAGCUGCUGACUGAAUAGAACAUUGAGGUGUGUCAGCUGCUGACUGAAUAGAACAUUGAGGUGUGUCAGCUGCUGACUGAAUAGAACAUUGAGGUGUGUCUGCUGCUGACUGAAUAGAACAUUGAGGUGUGUCAGCUGCUGACUGAAUAGAACAUUGAGGUGUGUCAGCUGCUGACUGAAUAGAACAUUGAGGUGUGUCUGCUGCUGACUGAAUAGAACAUUGAGGUGUGUCAGCUGCUGACUGAAUAGAACAUUGGGGUGUGUCAGCUGCUGACUGAAUAGAACAUUGGGGUGUGUCAGCUGCUGACUGAAUAGAACAUUGAGGUGUGUCAGCUGCUGACUGAAUAGAACUGCUGACUGAAUAGAACAAUUAGGUGGGUCAGCUGCUGACUGAAUAGAACAUUGAGGUGUGUCAGCUGCUGACUGAAUAGAACAUUGAGGUGUGUCAGCUGCUGACUGAAUAGAACAUUGAGGUGUGUCUGCUGCUGACUGAAUAGAACAUUGAGGUGUGUCAGCUGCUGACUGAAUAGAACAUUGAGGUGUGUCAGCUGCUGACUGAAUAGAACAUUGAGGUGUGUCAGCUGCUGACUGAAUAGAACAUUGAGGUGUGUCAGCUGCUGACUGAAUAGAACAUUGAGGUGGGUCAGCUGCUGACUGAAUAGAACAUUGAGGUGGGUCAGCUGCUGACUGAAUAGAACAUUGAGGUGUGUCAGCUGCUGACUGAAUAGAACAUUGAGGUGUGUCAGCUGCUGACUGAAUAGAACAUUGAGGUGUGUCAGCUGCUGACUGAAUAGAACAUUGAGGUGUGUCAGCUGCUGACUGAAUAGAACAUUGAGGUGUGUCAGCUGCUGACUGAAUAGAACAUUGAGGUGUGUCUGCUGCUGACUGAAUAGAACAUUGAGGUGUGUCAGCUGCUGACUGAAUAGAACAUUGAGGUGUGUCUGCUGCUGACUGAAUAGAACAUUGAGGUGUGUCAGCUGCUGACUGAAUAGAACAUUGAGGUGUGUCAGCUGCUGACUGAAUAGAACAUUGAGGUGUGUCAGCUGCUGACUGAAUAGAACAUUGAGGUGUGUCAGCUGCUGACUGAAUAGAACAUUGAGGUGUGUCAGCUGCCGACUGAAUAGAACAUUGAGGUGUGUCAGCUGCUGACUGAAUAGAACAUUGAGGUGUCAGCUGCCGACUGAGUAGAACAUUGAGGUGUGUCAGCUGCUGACUGAAUAGAACAUUGAGGUGUGUCUGCUGCUGACUGAAUAUAACAUUGAGGUGUGUCAGCUGCUGACUGAAUAGAAGAUUGAGGUGUGUCUGCUGCUGACUGAAUAGAACAUUGAGGUGUGUCAGCUGCUGACUGAAUAGAACAUUGAGGUGUGUCAGCUGCUGACUGAAUAGAACAUUGAGGUGUGUCAGCUGCUGACUGAAUAGAACAUUGAGGUGUGUCAGCUGCUGACUGAAUAGAACAUUGAGGUGGGUCAGCUGCUGACUGAAUAGAACAUUGAGGUGGGUCAGCUGCUGACUGAAUAGAACAUUGAGGUGUGUCAGCUGCUGACUGAAUAGAACAUUGAGGUGUGUCAGCUGCUGACUGAAUAGAACAUUGAGGUGUGUCAGCUGCUGACUUAAUAGAACAUUGAGGUGUGUCAGCUGCUGACUGAAUAGAACAUUGAGGUGUGUCAGCUGCUGACUGAAUAGAACAUUGAGGUGUCAGCUGCUGACUGAGUAGAACAUUGAGGUGUGUCAGCUGCUGACUGAAUAGAACAUUGAGGUGUGUCUGCUGCUGACUGAAUAUAACAUUGAGGUGUGUCAGCUGCUGACUGAAUAGAAGAUUGAGGUGUGUCUGCUGCUGACUGAAUAGAACAUUGAGGUGUGUCAGCUGCUGACUGAAUAGAACAUUGAGGUGUGUCAGCUGCUGACUGAAUAGAACAUUGAGGUGUGUCAGCUGCUGACUGAAUAGAACAUUGAGCUGUGUCAGCUGCUGACUGAAUAGAACAUUGAGGUGUGUCAGCUGCUGACUGAAUAGAACAUUGAGGUGUGUCAGCUGCUGACUGAAUAGAACAUUGAGGUGUGUCAGCUGCUGACUGAAUAGAACAUUGAGGUGUGUCAGCUGCUGACUGAAUAGAACAUUGAGGUGUGUCAGCUGCUGACUGAAUAGAACAUUGAGGUGUGUCAGCUGCUGACUGAAUAGAACAUUGAGGUGUGUCAGCUGCUGACUGAAUAGAACAUUGAGGUCUGUCAGCUGCUGACUGAAUAGAACAUUGAGGUGUGUCAGCUGCUGACUGAAUAGAACAUUGAGGUGUGUCAGCUGCUGACUGAAAUACAACAUUGAGGUGUGUCUGCUGCUGACUGAAUAGAACAUUGAGGUGUGUUUUGAGGUCUUGCCCUUUUUUUUAUAAGCCUUAUCAGUCUAUUUGUAUUGCUGUCCAAAUGUUCUGCGACGAGAAGGAUUAGAGCUGAAAUAUUACUUUGAUUUCUAGGCCAACUAUCAAUGACAAUCAUUUCACAUUUCAAGAAUUACUUCAUUCAUGAUUUGCUUUCUUGUCAACAUGUUUAUCUGAGCUAUUUCACCGUAACCCCUUAACCAUUCACCUGUUGUAUGGGAUAUGUACUGGUGUGUGAACAGAGGUGAUAGCAAGUGUUUUAUAUUCUUUAUCGUUGGCAGUGAUUAACUAGUGUCUAACUGAUGCAAAGUGUAUGUGUAACUUCUUGGUUUCCUUCUUACUAAGUUAGCUGAAUUGGCACAUUUCUGGAUUCAUAAUAACUGUUGGCUUGUAAGACUGAUCACUCAGUCAGAGAUAAAGGUGUGUGUGUG